rnacentral:lncRNA from 1 species
UAGUUUUUUUUUUUUUUUUUUUUUUUUUUUUUUGAGAGGUAGUUUUAAUGUGCUCAUUGCCUCCCCCCUGCUUCCUUCUCGGACAGCUAGAAGUAACGGCCAGCAGAGUGAACUCCCCCACACCGACUAGGAAGGCACUGAGCUCCCUCUAGUGCUUUUGUAUUCCCCCUAAAUGAGCAACCAUAGCCUAAAGUUGGAGGAUGUGGAGAAGAAAUGGUGCUGCUAGCACAAACUGAUGCUGGGCGUUGCUGACCAGAGCCCAAGAGAAGACCCAGUACAAGUUGGGUGAUGUCCAUCUUCUGUUUGGUGUGUGUCCUGAUGUUGGCCACCUCUCAUCUCUGUCCCGAGCCCUGUCCCCGUGUCAGCUCAUUCAGUCUUCCCAAGCACAAGAAACCAGAGUUACCUCGGCAAAAACAAACUGUAUCAAUGGAUGGAAGCAUGAUCAAAACACAGCACAGCCACACAACGGAAUGUUCAGCCGUAACAGAAGUACUGGUCCAUGCUAUAACACCAAGGGACUUCAAAAACACACUGAGCGAAAGAAGCCAGUCACCAAAGGCCCCAGAUCGUAGGAUUCCAUGUGUAGAAAUAUCCAGAAUAGGCAAAUCCACAGAGACAGAACGCAGGUCAGUGGGUGCUGUGGGCUGGAGAGGAGUGGGAAUGGAGACCAACUAUUUCAUGGAUACUGGGUUUCCUUUUGAGAUAAUGGAAAAGUUCUGGAACUGGGCAGUGGUGAACAUUGUACAACAUUGUGAAUGUACUGAAUGCCACUGAUUGUAUACUUUAUAAUGGUUAAAGUGGUAAAGUUUAUGUUAUGUGUAUUUUACCACAGUAAUUUAAAAAUCAAACUAUGGGGCAGCCCGGGUGGCUCAGCGGUUUAGCGCCGGCUUCAGCCCAUGGUGUGAUCCUGGAGACCCGAGAUCGAGGCCCACGUCAGGCUCCCUGAAUGGAGGCUGCUUCUCUCUCUGCCUGUGUCUUUGCCUCUCUCUCUGUGUGUGUGUGUCUCUCAUGAAUAAAUAAAUAAAAUCUUUAAAACA